CCUACGGGAGGCUGCAGUGGGGAAUAUUGCACAAUGGGGGAAACCCUGAUGCAGCAACGUCGCGUGAGUGAUGAAGUACCUCGGUAUGUUAAGCUCUAUUAGCAGGGAAGUAGAAAGACGGUACCUGACUAAGAAGCCUCGGCUAACUACGUGCCAGCAGCCGCGGUAAUACGUAGGGGGCAAGCGUUAUCCGGAUUUACUGGGUGUAAAGGGAGCGUAGACGGCUGGGCAAGUCUGAGGUGAAAGUUCGUGGCUCAACCGCGGAACUGCAUUGGAAACUGUAUAGCUUGAGUACUGGAGAGGCAGGCGGAAUUCGUGGUGUAGCGGUGAAAUGCGUAGAUAUUAGGAAGAACACCGGUGGCGAAGGCAGCCUGCUGGACAGAAACUGACGUUGAGGCUCGAAAGCGUGGGGAGCAAACAGGAUUAGAUACCCCAGUAGUC
rnacentral:rRNA from 1 species